rnacentral:rRNA from 1 species
UACAGAGGGUGCAAGCGUUGUUCGGAAUUAUUGGGCGUACAGGGCGCGUAGGCGGUGCGGUAAGUCACCUGUGAAAUCUCCUGGCUCAACUGGGAGCUUGCAGGCGAAACUGCCGUGCUGGAGUGUGGGAGAGGUGCGUGGAAUUCCCGGUGUAGCGGUGAAAUGCGUAGAUAUCGAGAGGAACACCUGUGGCGAAAGCGGCGCACUGGACCACAACUGACGCUGAGGCGCGAAAGCUAGGGGAGCAAACAGG